GAUGAACGCUGGCGGCGUGCCUAAUACGUGCAAGUCGAGCGAACCACUUCGGUGGUGAGCGGCGAACGGGUGAGUAACACGUAGGUGAUCUGCCCAUCAGACGGGGACAACGAUUGGAAACGAUCGCUAAUACCGGAUAGGACGAAAGUUUAAAGGUGCUUCUGGCACCGCUGAUGGAUGAGCCUGCGGCGCAUUAGCUAGUUGGUAGGGUAAAGGCCUACCAAGGCGACGAUGCGUAGCCGACCUGAGAGGGUGAACGGCCACACUGGGACUGAGACACGGCCCAGACUCCUACGGGAGGCAGCAGUAGGGAAUCUUCGGCAAUGGGCGAAAGCCUGACCGAGCAACGCCGCGUGAAUGAUGAAGGUCUUCGGGUUGUAAAAUUCUGUUAUAAGGGAAGAACGACUUUAGUAGGAAAUGGCUAGAGUGUGACGGUACCUUAUGAGAAAGCCACGGCUAACUACGUGCCAGCCGCCGCUGUAAAAC
rnacentral:rRNA from 1 species